AUGGCCCAAUGUGCUCUGGCUCUCUGCCUCCUGGGGCUGUCCCUGGCAGCUGCUGGUGGCCUAUUUACUCAGCCGGCCUCGGAGACUGUGUCCCCAGGAGCCACUGUCAGGCUCUCCUGCACCAUGAGCCGUGGGACCAGCAUCAGUGGCUACUACAUAAGCUGGCUGCAGCAGAGAGCAGGGAACCCUCCGAGAUACCUGCUCUAUUACAAAGACGAAUCUGCCAACGGGCUGGGGGCUGGGGUCUCUGACCGAUUCUCAGCUUCCAAAGACGCCUCCACUAACACCUGCCAUUUAAUCAUCACCGGGGCCCAAGCAGAGGACGAGGCGGAUUAUUACUGUCUCACAUUGAGUGCUGCUGUGGCUCACAGUUCUUGUGCCCAGCACGCGGUGACGCAGCCGCCCUCAAUGUCGGCGUCUCCAGGGCAGACAGUGAAACUCUCGUGCAGCGUCAGUGGAGGAUACGACAUCAGUAGCUAUGGAAUAGGCUGGUACCAACAGACCCCCGGGAAUCCUCCCAGAUACCUGCUCUAUUAUUACAGUGAUUCUAGCACAGGCAGGGGCACUGGGGUCCCGGACCGGUUCUCUGGCUCUGCCUCCGGCAGUGUUGGCUACUUAACCAUCUCUGGGCUCCAAGCCGAGGAUGACGCUGAUUAUUACUGUGCGACUUGGGACAGCAGUGCUAAGAUGCUCACAGUGGUGUAA